rnacentral:rRNA from 1 species
AUUGAACGCUGGCGGCAUGCCUUACACAUGCAAGUCGAACGGCAGCACGGGAGCUUGCUCCUGGUGGCGAGUGGCGAACGGGUGAGUAAUACAUCGGAACGUACCCUGAAGUGGGGGAUAACGUAGCGAAAGUUACGCUAAUACCGCAUAUUCUGUGAGCAGGAAGGAGGGGGAUCGCAAGACCUCUUGCUUUAGGAGCGGCCGAUGUCGGAUUAGCUAGUUGGUGAGGUAAAGGCUCACCAAGGCGACGAUCCGUAGCGGGUCUGAGAGGAUGAUCCGCCACACUGGGACUGAGACACGGCCCAGACUCCUACGGGAGGCAGCAGUGGGGAAUUUUGGGACAAUGGGCGCAAGCCUGAUCCAGCCAUGCCGCGUGAGUGAAGAAGGCCU